rfam:Candidatus Gottesmanbacteria bacterium RIFCSPHIGHO2_01_FTLL_39_10 rifcsphigho2_01_scaffold_15599, whole genome shotgun sequence.
GGGAUCGUAGCGCAGUUGGUUAGCGCAUCUCCUUGUCAAGGAGAGGGUCACGGGUUCGAGUCCCGUCGGUCCCG